GCAAGAUUUGUUCAAAGGCUCAGAGCAUUGGACUAUGACUCUGGAGACCAGGGUUCAAUUCCCAGCUCAGGCA